GCUUGUGAGGGAGAUCUCGCUGCGACUUCUGUCACCCCAUUGAUCGCCAGGGUUGAUUCGGCUGAUCUGGCUGGCUAGGCUGGUGUCCCCUUCCUCCCUCACAGCUCCAUGUGCGUCCCUCCCGAAGCUGGGCGCUCUGUCGAAGAGGACGACCUUCCAGGGCGUCCCGUUCUUCGGUCAAGGGUAUACGAGUAGCUGCGCUCCCCUGCUAGAACAACCUCCACAUUAAAGAUAUUAAUUGGUUUGGAUGUGUGGGUGAAGCGGGAACAGGAAAA
rnacentral:snRNA from 1 species